GCUGUGAUGAAUUUUGUGAUGUUGAUCAUCUGAAGUGAUGAUUUUUUCAUGUCCUCUAAGAAGUUCUGAGCUA